rnacentral:rRNA from 1 species
CGGCUGUCACUACAGGAUGGGCCCGCGGCGCAUUAGCUAGUUGGUAGGGUAACGGCCUACCAAGGCGACGAUGCGUAGCCGACCUGAGAGGGUGAUCGGCCACACUGGGACUGAGACACGGCCCAGACUCCUACGGGAGGCAGCAGUAGGGAAUCUUCCACAAUGGACGAAAGUCUGAUGGAGCAAUGCCGCGUGAGUGAAGAAGGUUUUCGGAUCGUAAAACUCUGUUGUGAGGGAAGAACAAGUACGAGAGUAACUGCUCGUACCUUGACGGUACCUC